CACACCGCCCGUCACACCAUGGGAGUUGGAUUCACUCGAAGGCGUUGAGCUAACCCGCAAGGGAGGCAGGCGACCACAGUGGGUUUAGCGACUGGGGUG
rnacentral:rRNA from 1 species